CGAGCUGGGUACUGGUCUGUAUCUGGGCUGGGCGGGGGUCUGGCCUUACUGGGAGGAUCUAUGCUCUGCUGCUCCUGCAGGAAGUCCUCCUCCUCCUCCUCCUCCCCUGCUCGCCAGUUUUCAUACAACUUCACCACCACGAGCCGAGGACAGAGCAUCUACAGAGCAGCUCCGGCCCCGACAGCAGCUUCUCCAAAGCUUACGUCUAAAACUGCUUCCUGUCUGAAACUGUUUCAAGAAGCCUCUGAGUUUCUUCUUUCUGGAAAUGAAACCAACGUGAGAUGAGUUUUUUAUUGUGAAGGAAACUGAUCCUUUGAUUUCAACCUGAUCCUUUUGUAUUAGUGACGUCUCUGAAUAUCAGGAUGAGGAUUAUUAUGAACUGUUGUAAAUAAAACCUUUCCUCAUCUUUUUUUUUAUUUUCAGAUCUUUGAUUUGAAAGUUUCUCUGGUUCAGAAAGUUGAGAUUAAAGCCUGAUUAUAAUCUUUA